UGCUAUCAGCCGCGGUAAGACACACGCUGCGAACGUUGCUCGGAAUCACUGGGCGCAAAGCGCGUGUAGGCGGACCAGCAAGUCAGGUGUGAAAUCCCUGGGCUCAACCUAGGAACUGCAUCUGAAACUGCUGGUCUUGAGUGUCGGAGAGGGAAGCGGAAUUCCAGGUGUAGAGGUGAAAUUCGUAGACAUCUGGAGGAACACCGGUGGCGAAGGCGGCUUCCUGGACGAGUACUGACACUGAGGUACGAAAGCGUGGGUAGCAAACAGGAUUAGAUA
rnacentral:rRNA from 1 species